rnacentral:sRNA from 1 species
UUGUUUGUUCUUUCCCUAUACAUGUAUUACUGAAAACUUUACAACACGUAUGCAUUCUCAUUUUUAUUUUUUUACUCCUAGUAUCUUUACAAGACCGUAUGAAAGCUACAUGUAUUAUGGCAUGUUUAUGAACUCGCAUUUAGAUAUAAUCAAUUUUUGUUUGUUAAAAUAUUACUUAAAAAUAUGUUUUAGAAGCGUGCAGAGUGUGCAACAAUUUUAGAUCUGUUGACAAGCGUUUGUCAAGGUUAUGGAAUAUUAUAAAAUUUCACAUGCACACCUUGAAUUUUUGGAAAUGAAAUUCAUUAAUCUUAUUAAUUCUAGGAUGAAGUGAUCAAUUGCGUUCAUAUUUAACAUCGAUCGUAAUUCUUUUAAAAUAGGUAUGGGGCACAUGUACUAUCAAUGAUUUUCGUGCAUAUUCAUAUGCAUUGUUUAUUUGUACUCAUUUAAUUAAAUUGAUCUUUAAUUACUUGAAUUCAUGAUAGUUUUGUUUCAUCAUAUUUAAGAUGUACGUAUAUCAAGGGAUUUUUUUAUUUCGAAGUUGUCGACUUGCAAUACAAAAGCGUUGUUUUAGCAGUUUUACAACAGUGUGCAUUAUUUACAAAUUUAACUAGCUUGCAUUUUUCAUACUUAUUAUAUAAACAAUUGUAUACAUGUACACCCCCACCCCAAUAACCCAAAGCAGAUAGGGAAUAAAGUAAAACUCACAUGCACUUGUUAAAACCGCAAAGAUGCAAAAUGUCUUAUCCGAAAGGGGAUAGGGGAUUUUUUAGAUGCCUUUUCCAUUAAACUUGUAAAAACCUUUUAUUUAUAAAACUUUCUUUAAAUAGGAAGGGUGUUCUUAGAUAACUGCUUUUAAAUUUUUAUUUUAAUCAAGAUACUGAAUACGGGGUUAUUUUGGUCCCGUGUAAUUUCCGUCCUUCUACACUUGCAAACAGUUUCACUCUGACGUGACCUCGUCCAGUCACAGCUGUUAAGUUACUUAAUAUUAGAUAUUGAAAAUCAACAUAAAUUCGCCCGCUGACAACGAGGAUAAAAUGAUUGAAAAUUAAACAGGGCGAAUUAUUCCCUGUUUAUGGUGUAUAUUACUUUCACCCCCCCCCCCC